CCUACGGGUGGCAGCAGUGGGGAAUAUUGCACAAUGGGCGCAAGCCUGAUGCAGCCAUGCCGCGUGUGUGAAGAAGGCCUUCGGGUUGUAAAGCACUUUCAGCGGGGAGGAAGGCGGUGAGGUUAAUAACCUCAUCGAUUGACGUUACCCGCAGAAGAAGCACCGGCUAACUCCGUGCCAGCAGCCGCGGUAAUACGGAGGGUGCAAGCGUUAAUCGGAAUUACUGGGCGUAAAGCGCACGCAGGCGGUCUGUCAAGUCGGAUGUGAAAUCCCCGGGCUCAACCUGGGAACUGCAUUCGAAACUGGCAGGCUAGAGUCUUGUAGAGGGGGGUAGAAUUCCAGGUGUAGCGGUGAAAUGCGUAGAGAUCUGGAGGAAUACCGGUGGUGAAGGCGGCCCCCUGGACAAAGACUGACGCUCAGGUGCGAAAGCGUGGGGAGCAAACAGGAUUAGAUACCCCGGUAGUC
rnacentral:rRNA from 1 species